CGGUGGACUCUAUGUAUCGGAAUUGCGUGAACCUGGUCAGAUGGGGAACCAAGCAGCCAUAAACGUGGAGACCGGGUACUGUAGAAAUUCUAUGGUCG
rnacentral:SRP_RNA from 1 species